GUAGUCCACGCCGUAAACGAUGAAUACUAGGUGUAGGGGUUGUCAUGACCUCUGUGCCGCCGCUAACGCAUUAAGUAUUCCGCCUGGGGGAGUACGGUCGCAAGAUUAAAACUCAAAGGAAUUGACGGGGGCCCGCACAAGCAGCGGAGCAUGUGGUUUAAUUCGAAGCAACGCGAAGAACCUUACCUAGACUUGACAUCUCCUGCAUUACUCUUAAUCGAGGAAGUCCCUUCGGGGACAGGAUGACAGGUGGUGCAUGGUUGUCGUCAGCUCGUGUCGUGAGAUGUUGGGUUAAGUCCCCGCAACGAGCGCAACCCUUAUUGUUAGUUGCCAUCAUUAAGUUGGGCACUCUAGCGAGACUGCCCGGGUUAACCGGGAGGAAGGUGGGGAUGACGUCAAAUCAUCAUGCCCCUUAUGUCUAGGGCUACACACGUGCUACAAUGGUCGGUACAAUAAGACGCAAGCCCGCGAGGGGGAGCAAAACUGGAAAACCGAUCUCAGUUCGGAUUGUAGGCUGAAACUCGCCUACAUGAAGCUGGAGUUGCUAGUAAUCGCGAAAUUCAGCAUGUCGCGGUGAACUACGGUUUCCCCGGGGCCUUUGUAACACACCCGCCCCGGUCACACCAUGAGAGUUGGCAAUACCCAAAGUACGUGUCUAACCCGUAAGG
rnacentral:rRNA from 1 species